AUUUUUUAUUUUAUUUUAUAAAAAUAUUUUUGUUUUUAGUAUUUUAGAAUUAAUAUUUUUUUAUUAUAGUUAAUUUAACUGUGAAGGUUUAUGAUUUUUUUUAUAUAAGUAUUUAUUUUAAGUACCUUUUGCAUCAGGGUUUAUUAAUUUAAAAAAUUUAUUUCUUUUUCCCGAAACUUUAAGAUUUAAAAUAUAAUGUUUUUUAUUGUUUCAUAAAUAUUUAAAAUUUUAUUUUAGAGGUGAAAUGCUUUUCAAUUAAGGUUAUAUCUGGUUUAUUAAUAAUUGAAUUUAAUUCAACCCAUUUUGGCUUAAUUUUAAUUUUAUUAUUAUAAGUUUUUUUGGGCAAACAAUUUAAGGAUAAGCUUAGGUUGUUUUUUAAAAAUAUUGUUUUUUUAAGAUUUUUUUUAGGAUUGAUAAUUUUCAUUUUUAUUUUGUUAUAAUUAUUUUUCUUUUUUUAAAAUUUUUGUUUUUUUAGUUUUUUAUUAAUAAUUUUUCUUUAAUUUUUUUUGUAAAGUUAUUAUGAUAAAAUUAGUAAUUUUUUUAAUUUGGUUAUUGGAACUCGGCAAAAUUAAUUUUCACCUGUUUAACAAAAACAUGGUUUUUUGAUUUUUAUUUAAGAUCAGGCCUGCCCGUUGAUUAUAAAUAUUGAAAGGCUGCGGUAUUUUAACUGUACGAAGGUAGCAUAAUCAUUUGUCUUUUAAUUGAAGGCUAGUAUGAAUGGUUUGAUGAAAUAUUGACUUUCUUUGAUUAAUUAAUUUGAAUUUAAUUUUUUAGUUAAAAAGCUAAAAUUUUUUUAUAGGACGAGAAGACCCUAUAGAAAUUUAUUUUUAAUAUAAGGUAUUAUUUUUUGUUUUUAAAUUAAUUUUUUAGAAUUAAAAAUUUUGUUGGGGCGACAGUAAAAUUUAUUUAACUUUUAUUUUUGUUUUUCAUUUAUUUAUGUUUAUUUUGAUCCAUAAUUUUUGAUUAUAAGAUUAAUUUACCUUAGGGAUAACAGCGUAAUUUUUUCGGAGAGUUCAUAUCGAUGAAUAAGUUUGCGACCUCGAUGUUGAAUUAAGAUAAGAUUUAGGUGAAAAGUUUUAAAUUUUCUUGGUCUGUUCGACCAUUAAAUUCUUACAUGAUUUGAGUUAAGACCGGCGUGAGCCAGGUCGGUUUCUAUCCUUAUUUUUAUAUAAAUUAGUACGAAAGGACCAUUUAUUUUAAUAAUUAUUAUUUAAUUUGAUUAAAAUU
rnacentral:rRNA from 1 species